rnacentral:rRNA from 1 species
AGUGAACGCUGGCGGCAGGCCUAACACAUGCAAGUCGAGCGGAGCGGAGGCCGGGUGAGUAAGGCCUAGGACUCUGCCUGGUAGUGGGGGAUAACGUCAGGAAACGGGCGCUAAUGCCGCAUCCUCUCAGAUGCGGCUAGGUCGGAUUAGCGAGUUGGUGGGGUAAAGGCUUACCAAGGCGACGAUCCGUAACUGGUCUGAGAGGAUGAUCAGUCACACUGGAACUGAGACACGGUCCAGACUCCUACGGGAGGCAGCAGUGGGGAAUAUUGGACAAUGGGCGAAAGCCUGAUCCAGCCAUGCCGCGUGUGUGAAGAAGGUCUUCGGAUUGUAAAGCACUUUAAGUUGGGAGGCGUUACCAACAGAAGAAGCACCGGCUAACUUCGUGCCAACAGCCGCGGUAAUAC